rfam:Bipolaris zeicola 26-R-13 unplaced genomic scaffold scaffold_257, whole genome shotgun sequence.
GACAAGAUGGCCGAGCGGUUAAGGCGCAUGACUCAAGCGAAAGCUUUCCCCCUCUGCGAGGAAGUGUUCAUGUAGAGAAAUCUGCGUGGGUUCGAGUCCCACUCUUGUCA